rnacentral:rRNA from 1 species
GACGAACGCUGGCGGCGUGCUUAACACAUGCAAGUCGAACGGAAAGGCCCUGCUUUUGUGGGGUGCUCGAGUGGCGAACGGGUGAGUAACACGUGAGUAACCUGCCCUUGACUUUGGGAUAACUUCAGGAAACUGGGGCUAAUACCGGAUAGGAGCUCCUGCUGCAUGGUGGGGGUUGGAAAGUUUCGGCGGUUGGGGAUGGACUCGCGGCUUACCAGCUUGUUGGUGGGGUAGUGGCUUACCAAGGCUUUGACGGGUAGCCGGCAUGAGAGGGUGACCGGCCACAUUGGGACUGAGAUACGGCCCAGACUCCUACGGGAGGCAGCAGUGGGGAAUAUUGCACAAUGGGCGGAAGCCUGAUGCAGCAACGCCGCGUGCGGGAUGACGGCCUUCGGGUUGUAAACCGCUUUCGCCUGUGACGAAGCGUGAGUGACGGUAAUGGGUAAAGAAGCACCGGCUAACUACGUG